UGCGAAGGGGGCUAGCGUUGCUCGGAAUCACUGGGCGUAAAGCGCACGUAGGCGGACUCUUAAGUCGGUGGUGAAAUCCUGGAGCUCAACUCCAGAACUGCCUUCGAUACUGAGAGUCUCGAGUCCGGGAGAGGUGAGUGGAACUGCGAGUGUAGAGGUGAAAUUCGUAGAUAUUCGCAAGAACACCAGUGGCGAAGGCGGCUCACUGGCCCGGUACUGACGCUGAGGUGCGAAAGCGUGGGGAGCAAACAGG
rnacentral:rRNA from 1 species